AUGUGGACCUCAAUUCCGGUCAUCGUAGGCUCAGCAGACUUCAAGAAACUGGUUAAGAUGUACUCUUAUGUAAAUUCUGUGCUAUUUGAUUCUUCUGCAUUUAGCCUGUGGUUAGUUUUAGUUCAAAUAUUACAUUCCUUAUAUCCCACACAUAAUUUCAUAUUGAACAAGUCUAUUUUCAAUCUUCUUUACUUAUUUUUUCCCAUUGUAGUUUUAAUAUAUCUGUCAGCAAUGAGUUUUAGUUGUGUUUUUGUCCAGUUGGGUACACAUAAGUUCGUGUUGACAUUUAUGAGGAUCUUGUGCUGUUAG
rnacentral:rRNA from 1 species